CGCAGUCACCGCAUUUACCGAGUCACGGCAUCAGAAAAAUACAUCGAUAACCAUGACAGACAAGCUACAGAUGGAGUGAUACAGCCGAGCUGUUGCAGAAAAUGUCGACCGCGAGAAUGUGAUGUACUUUGAAUUUUAUCACGGAUUGGCUCUAAUAAGACCUGCUGUACACAGAUCUUACAGUUUGGUGAGGUGAGAUAUCGUAGCCUGUGGAGAACAGGACAUCAUCACCAGUAGUU